ensembl:lncRNA
AGACGGGACACCUGCGAGGGUCUGAUGGGGACGGCUGUGGCAGGAGGAAUCCCGCUCGAUCCAACACCGCGAUGCUGAGUUCCCCGCGUAGAUCGUAGAUCCCUGUGUAAUGCUGGAACUUUGAGCGAUGCCACGAUGCCGCAUGACGACACCGCAGCCAUCUCCGCUCGCUCCCCGCCGGCGACUCAGAAGGCAGCUUUUCCAUUGCAGCGCGAGGAAAAGGAAAACCGUGGGCCCGUCGCCACAUUGGCCUCAGUUUAACUUAAACAUUGUCUCAACAUCCAUUUCUUUUUACCUGGCUGGAGGACAAACCAUGAG